rnacentral:rRNA from 1 species
GUGGGGAAUAUUGGACAAUGGGCGAAAGCCUGAUCCAGCCAUGCCGCGUGUGUGAAGAAGGUCUUCGGAUUGUAUAGCACUUUAAGUUGGGAGGAAGGGCAGUAAAUUAAUACCUUGCUGUUUUGACGUUACCGACAGAAUAAGCACCGGCUAACUUCGUGCCAGCAGCCGCGGUAAUACGAAGGGUGCAAGCGUUAAUCGGAAUUACUGGGCGUAAAGCGCGCGUAGGUGGUUUUGGAAGUUGGAGGUGAAAUCCCCGGGCUCAACCUGGGAACUGCCUCCAAAACUGCAUGACUAGAGUACGGUAGAGGGUAGUGGAAUUUCCUGUGUAGCGGUGAAAUGCGUAGAUAUAGGAAGGAACACCAGUGGCGAAGGCGACUACCUGGACUGAUACUGACACUGAGGUGCGAAAGCGUGGGGAGCAAACAGGAUUAGAAACCCGGGUAGUCC